rnacentral:misc_RNA from 1 species
UCUAAAUUAUAUUAUUUUGUAUUUGUAUAUCACGUAUAGUAGUAGUGAUGUUGAAAUUGAAAUACUAACCUUGUGACCCUGUGAAGGUUUCUACUGAAAAAUUAAACGACCACGCAAAGACAUUGAAUAUAUAAUAAUCUCCAACAUAUUAUAAAUAUAUGAUUUAUACACCUUAACAUGAAACAAACUUUUUUAAAUAAUUAAUUGACAUAGAAAAAAAAUGAUGAUAAAAUGAUUCAAAUUUUAUAGAUACAAGUUGCUGAAGUGUUGUUGGAUAUUAAUUAAAUGCAGACAUGAAUUAUUUCAUUAUGUCAAAAUUAAAUUGCCAAGUAGCUCAAGCAAAAUCACGCGCCAAAAACGCGGUCGUGGACGCAAUCAAAUACAUGGAAAUAUUAAAAUAGAAAUUUGAUAAAAUUAAAAUAUUGCAGUUAUUUAUAAUGUAAACAUUAUAAUAAUAUAAAAACAAUCAUAUCAUAUUGACGUCAUAUUUAUUGUUAUUCUAUCUCAAUGAUGAUUCAACAGAUCAUUCAUAAUUAAAUUAAUUAAAAAAUAUUAAAUGACGUACAGAGGAAAUAAUUAUUUUUACAUUGUUACAUAUAUAAAUUGAUUAGUCAAUCAAUUGAUGGAACGUAAUCGAAUUUGACGUCGGUAAGAAUCACGCGUUCCUAGAAAAUAUAAUACCAACAUUACUGAAUUCAAUAACAAACUGCGUAUUUCAGUUGGUGGUCCUUCGUCUAAUUAAAAUCUCCUGCAGUGAACAAAAAAGUAAUUGCAACAGUUCGAGGAAGUUGAGAAAAAAAAAUACAAGAUUUAAUUAUCUUUAUUAUUUUACUCCAAAAUGAUAAAUUAAGUAAAAAGAGAUUUGAUGAUUUUUAAAAUCUCUAUUAUAACUGACAAUCGCAAUUUUUGUAAUUUUAUUUUUCUAAUCGAUAUUGAAUUAUAAAAAUGACGGGUUUUUGAAAGCAUUCUCCCAAUCUUUCUUAAGUUUUACUAGGAAUCAAUAUAAUUGCUACCAAGAGCAAACAAAAUUCAAAGGAAGUAAAAAGAAGAAAGAAUCAAAUUAACCUAACCACAACUUCCGUACAUAUGAUCAAUACACGACUUGUCAAGUUUUGAAAUGCGAAUAUAUUUACAGCAAUCAGAGAUUGGAGUAUUUGAAUAAUAUUCUAGGCACGUUAUGACAUUCAUAAUUUUGUUAUUAAUGUAUAUUAUUAUAUUUACAGGCACAUUUGUUUAUGGACAAUAUGGGUAUAAUCUGGUAAAUAAUAAAGAACAGGAAUGAGACGCACUGAUGGCGAAAUCCGGUCAAAGAAGGCGUGGUUGUUUCGUGAAACGUUUCGUCGGAAUGGACGAUAUCGGUAUUCAACAACAACCCGUUCUUCGGGCACCGUAAACAGGAAAAACGAGGCACUGAGUCAUGGAUAUAUACCACGUUGUAUACACUGUCAGACCACUUUGUGUUGGGUUCCAGAAAGUCGUUACUGAUAGCAACUUUAACAAGUUUUAGUGAACUAUAUCUUGUUGAAAAGAGAUAUCAGGAUUCAGAAGAAGAAAAUAAAAAAGGUAUCAUGAUACAACCACUCAUAUGUAGAACAGGAAAUGAAGAAUUAAUUAUAUAUUUGGUACAAUAAUUUUCUAAAUAAAUAUCAUCUUCCGAAUACACAACAUAAUAAAAUCAUCAGGUAGAAUAUUAAUGGAGUAAUAUUAUCACGUAUUAAUGGAAAGUUUAAAAAAAUAUAUUCACGCAAAAACUAUUAUAGCAAAUGUGAUGUAAUGAAGUUAAACUUCUUUGUAAUUAUUAUUUCUAGAUUAUUUUAAAUGAUUGUUAUAAUUAGAGAUUAUUAUCGAGUAGUCAUUACUUAGAAUUUAUUCAACUCUACAUAAUAUAGUGAUAAUGAUCAUGUAUUUCUACUGAUCUGAUAAUUUUACAAGGUUACAUCACUUCAUGUACAAUGAUCUUGUCAUUAUAUUAUCUUUUGUUCAAUUAUUUUUUGUUUUCUAAAUAAAUAUAAUCAAUAGACAUAAUGAUUAUAUUGGAGAAAAAACAAUAAUUGGUUGAGUGUACAUGAACAGAUAUGAGUCAGUAUUACCAAUUAUUUGUUUGAAUACAGAUUACACAGAAGUUUUAUUUUUUCUUAUUAAAAAUGAUUUUUUAGGAAGUUCAGCUUUUGGAAAUAACUUA